GCUAGAGGGGCAAAACCCGGCAAGGGCAGAAGGCUUAAGCCCUUUCCCCCGAGGUUCAAAUCCUCUCCCUAGCU
rnacentral:tRNA from 1 species